rnacentral:rRNA from 1 species
GACGAACGCUGGCGGCGUGCUUAACACAUGCAAGUCGAACGGUAAGGCCCUUCGGGGUACACGAGUGGCGAACGGGUGAGUAACACGUGGGUGAUCUGCCCUGCACUUCGGGAUAAGCCUGGGAAACUGGGUCUAAUACCGGAUAGGACCCUGGGAUGCAUGUCCUGGGGUGGAAAGCUUUUGCGGUGUGGGAUGGGCCCGCGGCCUAUCAGCUUGUUGGUGGGGUGAGGGCCUACCAAGGCGACGACGGGUAGCCGGCCUGAGAGGGUGGCCGGCCACACUGGGACUGGGAUACGGCCCAGACUCCUACGGGAGGCAGCAGUGGGGAAUAUUGCACAAUGGGCGCAAGCCUGAUGCAGCGACGCCGCGUGAGGGAUGACGGCCUUCGGGUUGUAAACCUCUUUCAGUAGGGACGAAGCGCAAGUGACGGUACCUACAGAAGAAGGACCGGCCAACUACGUGCCAGCCGCCGCCGUAA